GGGGGAAUCUUCCGCAAUGGGGCGAAAGCCUGACGGAGCAACGCCGCGUGAGUGAAGAAGGCCUUCGGGUCGUAAAGCUCUGUUGUCGGGGACGAAUGUAGCGCUUAUCAACAACGAGUGCUAAUGACGGUACCUGACGAGGAAGCCACGGCUAACUACGUGCCAGCAGCCGCGGUAAUACGUAGGUGGCGAGCGUUGUCCGGAAUUAUUGGGCGUAAAGGGAGCGCAGGCGAGAGGCCAAGUCCAUCCUAAAAGUUCGGGGCUCAACCCCGUGAGGGGAUGGAAACUGGUCUUCUUGAGUGCAGGAGAGGAAAGCGGAAUUCCUAGUGUAGCGGUGAAAUGCGUAGAUAUUAGGAGGAACACCAGUGGCGAAGGCGGCUUUCUGGACUGUAACUGACACUG
rnacentral:rRNA from 1 species